rnacentral:rRNA from 1 species
GACGAACGCUGGCGGCGUGCUUAACACAUGCAAGUCUAACGGAAAGGCCCUGCUUUUGUGGGGUGCUCGAGUGGCGACCGGGUGAGUAACACGUGAGUAACCUGCCCUUGACUUUGGGAUAACUUCAGGAAACUGGGGCUAAUACCGGAUAGGAGCUCCUGCUGCAUUGUGGGGUUUGGCAAGUUUCGGCGGUUGGGGAUGGACUCGCGGCUUAUCAGCUUGUUGGUGGGGUAGUGGCUUACCAAGGCUUUGACGGGUAGCCGGCCUGAGAGGGUGACCGGCCACAUUGGGACUGAGAUACGGCCCAGACUCCUACGGGAGGCAGCAGUGGGGAAUAUUGCACAAUGGGCGGAAGCCUGAUGCAGCAACGCCGCGUGCGGGAUGACGGCCUUCGGGUUGUAAACCGCUUUCGCCUGUGACGAAGCGUGAGUGACGGUAAUGGGUAAAGAAGCACCGGCUAACUACGUG